AAUCUCCCUAACAGAUGCAUCGGAAAGGGAAUUACCGUCUACCCUUGCGUUUACUAUGGGGUGGUACAAAAAGAAAUCAAUCGCAUAGAGAGGUGGGGGGGGGAAUAAUCGCCGCCCGCCCCAGAAACUAACUGCAGAGACUAUUCUCUCCCCGCCUCCCGAUUAGGGUUUUUUUUUUUUAAUCAACCCGGGUUACGCGCGCAUGCACACACGCCGGCUGCGGCCAAUUCUCGCGGGACCCGGCGUUCUCGCUAUAAAAAGUCACCAGAGGGGCUCUUCCUUCCUUUCCCAUUUGAUAACUGAGCCAAUCUCCAUGCCUUUGUCCUGUUGCACCUGAAGAAUGUGGAUGUCAGCAUGAAAUCUGCAGCACUGCACAAUGAUUCUACUGUACUAUGAGCAAGGAACUUCAUCUCAAUUUUACAAAAGAGCAAUUGCUCUACUCUCGGUAAGACUGGCCCCAAAUAUUUUGCUCCCUGAAGCAGAGCCUAGAUAGUAUCUCCUCCUUCUGAAAGGGCCAGCGGUCUUUAAGCAGUCUCACUGAACCACUGAGACAUGAAUUCAUGCCUCCAUCCAUAUCCAGCCCACACGGUGCUACCUGAACCUGGUUGCUCCAUGGCAAGCCUGAUCCUUACUCUCUGAACCUAGUUUGCAUUGAGAUGGUAUGCCUGUGUGCGGGUUCUCCUAUCUCAGACUCCUCAUGUGUCUGUAUCAAAUCUUUCAAUGCUCCAGCUUACUCUUCCCAUUAAAAAACACACCCUUGAUGUAGAAACAAAAUAUCAGAGACCAGGAGCUGACUUAGCUUUUUCUAAUGAAUGGUAU
rnacentral:lncRNA from 1 species